rnacentral:rRNA from 2 species
UACGAAGGGGGCUAGCGUUGUUCGGAAUUACUGGGCGUAAAGCGCACGUAGGCGGACCCGUAAGUCAGAGGUGAAAGCCUGGAGCUUAACUCCAGAACUGCCUUUGAUACUGCGGGUCUUGAGGAUGGGAGAGGUGAGUGGAACUGCGAGUGUAGAGGUGAAAUUCGUAGAUAUUCGCAAGAACACCAGUGGCGAAGGCGGCUCACUGGCCCAUUACUGACGCUGAGGUGCGAAAGCGUGGGGAGCAAACAGG